rnacentral:rRNA from 1 species
CCUACGGGUGGCAGCAGUGGGGAAUAUUGCACAAUGGGGGAAACCCUGAUGCAGCGACGCCGCGUGAGUGAAGAAGUAAUUCGGUAUGUAAAGCUCUAUCAGCAGGGAAGAAAAUGACGGUACCUGAGUAAGAAGCCCCGGCUCACUACGGGCCAGCAGCCGCGGUAAUACGUAGGGGGCAAGCGUUAUCCGGAUUUAAUGGGGGUAAAGGGAGCGUAGACGGCAGUGCAAGUCUGGAGUGAAAGUCGGGGGCUCAACCCCCGGACUGCUAUGGAAACUGUACGGCUUGAGUGCAGGAGAGGUAGGUGGAAUUCCUGGUGUAGCGGUGAAAUGCGUAGAUAUUAGGAGGAACACCAGUGGCGAAGGCGGCUUACUGGACUGUAACUGACGUUGAGGCUCGAAAGCGUGGGGAGCAAACAGGAUUAGAUACCCGGGUAGUC